rnacentral:rRNA from 1 species
GAUGAACGCUGGCGGCGUGCCUAAUACAUGCAAGUCGAACGCAUAGCGAAAGGUGCUUGCACCUUUCAAGUGAGUGGCGAACGGGUGAGUAGCACGUGGACAACCUGCCUCAAGGCUGGGGAUAACAUUUGGAAACAGAUGCUAAUACCGAAUAAAACUUAGUGUCGCAUGACACAAAGUUAAAAGGCGCUUCGGCGUCACCUAGAGAUGGAUCCGCGGUGCAUUAGUUAGUUGGUGGGGUAAAGGCCUACCAAGACAAUGAUGCAUAGCCGAGUUGAGAGACUGAUCGGCCACAUUGGGACUGAGACACGGCCCAAACUCCUACGGGAGGCUGCAGUAGGGAAUCUUCCACAAUGGGCGAAAGCCUGAUGGAGCAACGCCGCGUGUGUGAUGAAGGCUUUCGGGUCAUAAAGCACUGUUGUAUGGGAAGAACAGCUAGAAUAGGAAAUGAUUUUAGUUUGACGGUACCAUACCAGAAAGGGACGGCUAAAUACGUG